AGUGAUAAUCAUGGUUUUAGGAAUAGAACUUAGUGAUGCAUCACGUACAUACAACACCCAGGGCUCAUCACAAGUGCCCUCCUUAAUGCCCAUCACCCAUCCAGCCCAUCCCCCACCCACCUCCCCUCCAGCAAUCU